rnacentral:misc_RNA from 1 species
AAGUCGUAACAAGGUCUCCGUUGGUGAACCAGCGGAGGGAUCAUUACAGAGUUGCAAAACUCCCUAAACCAUCGUGAACCUACCGCUAAACAGUUGCUUCGGCGGGUGGCGGGCGUGCCCCCCCAGGGGGGAAGCCCGCCGCCGAGCCCGCCGGAGGAAAACCAAAACUCUUGUUUUUACUACCGGCCUCUCUGAGUAUACUUACUUAAAAUAAGUCAAAACUUUCAACAACGGAUCUCUUGGUUCUG